rnacentral:rRNA from 1 species
AUCUUACCACUUCUUGCAUAUUCAUUACUUAAUUCUACUGCUAUUGUUAAUACUUUGUUUAUAACAUUCAGGUGUUAAGAAGAUUUAUUCUGCUUAUUUUCCUUUUUGUUAGUUGUUUAAGUGUUGAUGUUGUUAGUAUAGUUUUAUCAUGAUUACAGGUGUUGCAUGGCUGUCUUUAGUUCGUGUUGUGAAAUGUUAGGUUAAUUCCGAAAACGAACGCAACCCUUUUCUUUAAUUAUCUGUUUCUCUUGUUGUAAUAGCUUUACACUUGGUUUUUUUAUUAAAGAUAUGUCUGCCGAUAUGGUGGAACAAUUAGGAUGAAGACAAGUCCUCAUGACCCUUAUGAAGUGGGCUACAGAC